CCCUAGCCCUGAUUGCAGCGUAAAUCCUUUUUUAGCCGCUUUUUCAGCGGAUAAAAAGAUUGAAGCGUAAAGCAGGAAACAGC
rnacentral:sRNA from 1 species